rnacentral:rRNA from 1 species
UGACACAGGGAGGUAGUGACAAUAAAUAACAAUGCCGGGUCUACUAAGAUCUGGCAAUUGGAAUGAGAACAAUUUAAAUCCCUUAUCGAGGAUCAAUUGGAGGGCAAGUCUGGUGCCAGCAGCCGCGGUAAUUCCAGCUCCAAUAGCGUAUAUUAAAGUUGUUGCAGUUAAAAAGCUCGUAGUUGGAUUUGUGGUGUGUCCAGUCGGCCUUCGCUUUUAGUGAUAGCGCUGUACUGGUCUGCCAUGUUUGGGUGGAAUCUGUGUGGCAUUAGGUUGUCGUGCAGGGGAUGCCCAUCGUUUACUGUGAAAAAAUUAGAGUGUUCAAAGCAGGCUUAUGCCGUUGAAUAUAUUAGCAUGGAAUAAUAAUAUAGGACCUUGGUACUACUUUGUUGGUUUGCGCACUAAGGUAAUGAUUAAGAGGGACAGUUGGGGGUAUUUGUAUUCCAUUGUCAGAGGUGAAAUUCUUGGAUUUAUGGAAGACGAACUACUGCGAAAGCAUUUACCAAGGAUGUUUUCAUUAAUCAAGAACGAAAGUUAAGGGAUCGAAGAUGAUUAGAUACCAUCGUAGUCUUAACCAUAAACUAUGCCAACUAGGGAUCGGCAGUUGUUCACAUAACACUGUCGGCACCUUAUGAGAAAUCAAAGUCUUUGGGUUCCGGGGGGAGUAUGGUCGCAAGUCUGAAACUUAAAGAAAUUGACGGAAGGGCACCACCAGGAGUGGAGCCUG